GGUCAGGUAGCUCAGUUGGUAGAGCAGGGGACUGAAAAUCCCCGUGUCGGCGGUUCAACUCCGUCCCUGACCACCA
rnacentral:tRNA from 1 species